UGAAAUCCGAAAAAGCCAUUGAAGCAUAUGAAUGCUCAAUAUUCAGCCGGGAACAUUGGAGAUAUCUGCUUCUGAUGUUACGUUGGCCGAUUCAGAUCUCAUAGCAGAAGUUGCUGCGUUGGAAGGGAAUAAUUUUGUGGCCAGAUUAUGGUUGAGCAUGUCUUGAGUGAUGGUCAGAGUUCAUCGGACUCUAGCUUUGAGACUGUAUCAUCGGAUUGUAGCCAGCUCUCUCUGAGUGAGCUCUCAAGAAUCACUCUCGUAUCAAGCAAUCUCAAACGGGGACACAAACGAAAAGAGUUACGUGGCCAAAGGUCGAACCUUGUUUGCAUCGAAUUUUCAAGCUCCUGGAACUGCAGAACUCUGAUACUACGACGGAGAAGUGGGCUGUGAUGAGCCGGGAAAAUGCGCCCCCUAUAGUCACGGAUAUUUGCCCAAAUGAA